rnacentral:rRNA from 1 species
GACGAACCGUGCGAACGUUGUUCGGAAUCACUGGGUUUAAAGGGCGCGUAGGCGGGCUGUCAAGUCGGUGGUGAAAUCGUUCCGCUCAACGGGACAAUGGCCUUCGAUACUGGCGGCCUGGAGGGAGGUAGGGGCAUGCGGAACUUCCGGUGGAGCGGUGAAAUGCGUAGAUAUCGGAAGGAACACCGAUGGCGAAAGCAGCGUGCUGGACCUUUUCUGACGCUGAGGCGCGAAAGCUAGGGGAGCAAACAGG